UCAGAAGAGACAAAAAGAGGGAGAGAGCGAGAGGAGAGACGUAUCUCGACAGAGCGGUGUCUAAAUUUGGUUUCACGUGACGAUCACGUAAUCGUAGGUUAGUAACGUUGCUUCGUGCCAGUCAAAUCCGCGGACGCUUUAUUAGAAUUUAUCGAGCGACGCUGAGACGGUCAUAGCAGGUGGGAAGAAAAAGCGGUCCGCGUUUCACGGCUGCUGCGGCGUUACGACGGGGGGAAAAGAGGCGUCGAGAUCGGUCGCCGGAUUGCAAACCGAAGAAACUGGUGCGGAAAUAACGAUACCACAAGAGCACAUACGAACAGUCCGCAGCCAUAACCGUGCCUACCAAGAACGACCGAGGCCCGCGGAUUUAAAUGCUAGCUAGAAUCUAAUGACGAUGACUGCACCAUCUUCCCGGAUUUCGCAACUGACCUCUGCGCGUUUCGCACGUAGAGAUACGGAACCGCAAACACCGCGAACGAAGAAGAAUUGCUCAGACGGGGAUUGAGCGUCGCCAGUUUCUGGAAUAUGAGAAAUAGACACGGAUUGCAGCCCGCGGAUGAAGAACCAGUUGCUCCAUAUAUAUAUAUAUAAAUGUAUAUAUGUAUACUACUGCUACGAAAUACGUACGUCAUGCGUAACUUUAUUGUGUAUACUUGGAAAAUAAAUGUGGUGCGAUAUCUUGUACUUCACCGUCGUAAGAUGA